UUUGAGAGUUUGAUCCUGGCUCAGGAUGAACGCUGGCGGCGUGCCUAACACAUGCAAGUUGAGCGAUUUACUUCGGUAAAGAGCGGCGGACGGGGGAGUAACGCGUGGGUAACCUACCCUGUACACACGGAUAACAUACCGAAAGGUAUGCUAAUACGGGAUAAUAUAUUUGAGAGGCAUCUCUUGAAUAUCAAAGGUGAGCCAGUACAGGAUGGACCCGCGUCUGAUUAGCUAGUUGGUAAGGUAACGGCUUACCAAGGCGACGAUCAG
rnacentral:rRNA from 1 species